rnacentral:rRNA from 1 species
UACAGAGGUCUCAAGCGUUGUUCGGAUUCAUUGGGCGUAAAGGGUGCGUAGGCGGCGCGGUAAGUCGGGUGUGAAAUUUCGGAGCUUAACUCCGAAACUGCAUUCGAUACUGCCGUGCUUGAGGACUGGAGAGGAGACUGGAAUUUACGGUGUAGCAGUGAAAUGCGUAGAGAUCGUAAGGAAGACCAGCGGCGAAGGCGGGUCUCUGGACAGUUCCUGACACUGAGGCACGAAGGCCAGGGGAGCAAACGGG